UACGGAGGGGGCAAGCGUUGUUCGGAAUUACUGGGCGUAAAGGGCGCGCAGGCGGCUGCUCAAGUCAGGGGUGAAAUCCUGGAGCUCAACUCCAGAACUGCCUUUGAUACUGAGGAUCUUGAGUUCGGGAGAGGUGAGUGGAACUGCGAGUGUAGAGGUGAAAUUCGUAGAUAUUCGCAAGAACACCAGUGGCGAAGGCGGCUCACUGGCCCGAUACUGACGCUGAGGCACGAAAGCGUGGGGAGCAAACAGG
rnacentral:rRNA from 1 species